rnacentral:rRNA from 1 species
UACGAAGGGGGCGAGCGUUGUUCGGAUUUACUGGGCGUAAAGGGCGCGUAGGCGGCCUUGUCAGUCAGGCGUGAAAGCCCCGGGCUCAACCUGGGAACGGCACUUGGGACGGCGAGGCUGGAGUUCGGGAGAGGAGAGUGGAAUUCCCAGUGUAGAGGUGAAAUUCGUAGAUAUUGGGAAGAACACCGGUGGCGAAGGCGGCUCUCUGGACCGACACUGACGCUGAGGCGCGAAAGCGUGGGGAGCAAACAGG